rnacentral:rRNA from 1 species
GAAGGGGGCUAGCGUUGUUCGGAAUAACUGGGCGUAAAGCGCACGUAGGCGGAUUGGAAUGUUAGAGGUGAAAUCCCAGGGCUCAACCCUGGAACUGCCUUUAAAACUAUCAGUCUAGAGGUCGAGAGAGGUGAGUGGAAUUCCGAGUGUAGAGGUGAAAUUCGUAGAUAUUCGGAGGAACACCAGUGGCGAAGGCGGCUCACUGGCUCGAUACUGACGCUGAGGUGCGAAAGUGUGGGGAGCAAACAGGGAUUAGAUACCCUGGUAGUCCACACCGUAAACGAUGGAAGCUAGCUGUCAGAAUGUAUACAUUUUGGUGGCGCAGCUAACGCAUUAAGCUUCCCCGCCUGGGAGUACGGUCGCAAGAUUA